rnacentral:misc_RNA from 1 species
GGGAUCUUUCUUAUUACAAAAAAAUGCAGAGAUGUAUGUUACUGUGAACCAUAAAAGUAUAUGAAAGACAAAUACAAUGCACAUUUCCUUUUGUAUUUACAAUUUCUUUUUAAAAAUUAAACAUUCCUAACCUUUCAAGUCGCAACCCUAAGCUUUAUCUUAUUAUAAACAAUAGGUCCCCAUGUAGCUGCCACUAGCUCUAUCUUCAAUUACUUUUAGUGUAUACUCUUUACCCUCUCAAACACCUUUUUUUGUUUAUCCAACUCGCUUAAUUUAUUAUAAUAUCGUUGAAUUCUACUAAGCCUGAUAUUCUU